rnacentral:rRNA from 1 species
GACGAACGCUGGCGGCGUGCUUAACACAUGCAAGUCGAACGGAAAGGCCCUUCGGGGUACUCGAGUGGCGAACGGGUGAGUAACACGUGGGUGAUCUGCCCUGCACUUUGGGAUAAGCCUGGGAAACUGGGUCUAAUACCGAAUAGGACCACGCGCUUCAUGGUGUGUGGUGGAAAGCUUUUGCGGUGUGGGAUGGGCCCGCGGCCUAUCAGCUUGUUGGUGGGGUAAUGGCCUACCAAGGCGACGACGGGUAGCCGGCCUGAGAGGGUGACCGGCCACACUGGGACUGAGAUACGGCCCAGACUCCUACGGGAGGCAGCAGUGGGGAAUAUUGCACAAUGGGCGCAAGCCUGAUGCAGCGACGCCGCGUGAGGGAUGACGGCCUUCGGGUUGUAAACCUCUUUCAAUAGGGACGAAGCGUGAGUGACGGUACCUAUAGAAGAAGCACCGGCCAACUACGUGCCAGCAGCCGCGGUAAUACGUAGGGUGCGAGCGUUGUCCGGAAUUACUGGGCGUAAAGAGCUCGUAGGUGGUUUGCCGCGUUGUUCGUGAAAACUCACAGCUUAACUGUGGGCGUGCGGGCGAUACGGGCAGACUAGAGUACUGCAGGGGAGACUGGAAUUCCUGGUGUAGCGGUGGAAUGCGCAGAUAUCAGGAGGAACACCGGUGGCGAAGGCGGGUCUCUGGGCAGUAACUGACGCUGAGGAGCGAAAGCGUGGGGAGCGAACAGGAUUAGAUACCCUGGUAGUCCACGCCGUAAACGGUGGGUACUAGGUGUGGGUUCCUUCCUUGGGAUCCGUGCCGUAGCUAACGCAUUAAGUACCCCGCCUGGGGAGUACGGCCGCAAGGCUAAAACUCAAAGGAAUUGACGGGGGCCCGCACAAGCGGCGGAGCAUGUGGAUUAAUUCGAUGCAACGCGAAGAACCUUACCUGGGUUUGACAUGCACAGGACGCCGGCAGAGAUGUCGGUUCCCUUGUGGCCUGUGUGCAGGUGGUGCAUGGCUGUCGUCAGCUCGUGUCGUGAGAUGUUGGGUUAAGUCCCGCAACGAGCGCAACCCUUGUCCUAUGUUGCCAGCGGGUUAUGCCGGGGACUCGUAGGAGACUGCCGGGGUCAACUCGGAGGAAGGUGGGGAUGACGUCAAGUCAUCAUGCCCCUUAUGUCCAGGGCUUCACACAUGCUACAAUGGCCGGUACAAAGGGCUGCGAUGCCGUGAGGUGGAGCGAAUCCUUUCAAAGCCGGUCUCAGUUCGGAUCGGGGUCUGCAACUCGACCCCGUGAAGUCGGAGUCGCUAGUAAUCGCAGAUCAGCAACGCUGCGGUGAAUACGUUCCCGGGCCU